rnacentral:lncRNA from 10 species
CAGUAUCCCAAGUGGACAAUAUUUUCCAAUGUUCAAGUUGUUAAUUACAGAGCAGUUACAUGGAACUCUAAUCUUGGAACAGGUUCUAUGUGAUUAUGAGGCAAUCAGCACCAAACAGCUAUGAGGAAGCAGUUCAGAGAGCAGGAAGCAGUUCAGAGAGCAGGCUUCCCUCAUGGUGAAUGCUAAGCGUGCUGCAAGCUGGGUUCAGUUCCUUUUCCCCAGCUUCCUUCUUCCCUGGUUCAUUUUCUAAAGUUUACAGGGACAGUUUCACAGGUGAACGGCAAAGGAGAAGGUGGUGAAAAUGGCUGUUGUGUUAAUUGAAACAGUGUCGGCCACAGCCGCAGAAUAAACAUGUGGAGAAGGUCAUUGAUCACCUUGACUGAAGCACUGCAGACAAGAUAAAGACAGCCUGAUGCAGAGGAAGAUUGAGGACUAAGGGGCUUCAUCCACAGGUGAGCUCACAUCUGAAAGCCGUGCUUACAUGAAUGUGAAAAUAUCUCAUCCAUGGAGUUGCCCACCUCUUGCAUUUAAGAAUCAAACUUCACCCUUUCUGUCUCCAAAGCUUCAUGUUUAUAUGGUAAAAAGAAAAAAAAAUCAGUGUAACUCAGAUGCCUCCCAAGUUUCAUCCCACUCUUCUCCAAAGAUAGUGUUCUUCCUUGAGUAGUCUUCUCUUUUGUCUACUGUGCAACAAGAUGUAUAACCAUCACCUUCCCCACCAGAUAACAUGCUAGGAUGCUUUCUGUUAGGAUAUGAAGAAGAGUGAUACUGACAUGCUAGUGAUAAUACUCUUGGAGCUGGGAAACUUGCAGAGUAACCAGGCGUCUACUGACCCACCACAUUUUUACCUUAUGACCAAAGACAAGGCCCUGUCAUAAUAGACUGUCAUCAUAGGAGGUAGCAUGCAUCCAUUCAUCCAACAGAUAUUUACACAGUGGGUCCUAAGUGCAGAUAUUGAAAUGAUCAGGGUUAUAAGACACUAACAAUGCCAACGGAGUGGGUUGAUAUAGAAAUUUAUUCUAAGUGCUUUAUGUGCCUUUUCUUCUUGUUCUGAAUGAAAAACAUGUGAGGUAUUUUCUGUUAUGACGUCACUGUAGAAGUAAAGAAACGGAAGCUAAAUGGCUGAGUAACACAGCUGUCAAUAGUUAAUAGUUAGUAAGGGGCAGAGCUGGAAUUUUCACCCAGCCUCCAGAACCCCAUGACUUUAGCCACU